rnacentral:rRNA from 16 species
CGUCAAGUCAUCAUGGCCCUUACGGCCUGGGCUACACACGUGCUACAAUGGUCGGUACAAAGGGUUGCCAAGCCGCGAGGUGGAGCUAAUCCCAUAAAACCGAUCGUAGUCCGGAUCGCAGUCUGCAACUCGACUGCGUGAAGUCGGAAUCGCUAGUAAUCGUGAAUCAGAAUGUCACGGUGAAUACGUUCCCGGGCCUUGUACACACCGCCCGUCACACCAUGGGAGUGGGUUGCAAAAGAAGUAGGUAGCUUAACCUUCGGGAGGGCGCUUACCACUUUGUGAUUCAUGACUGGGGUGAAGUCGUAACAAGGUAGCCGUAGGGGAACCUGCGGCUGGAUCACCU